CCCUUUGUGUACCUACCUCUGUUGCUUUGGCGGGCCGCGGUCCUCCGCGGCCGCCCCCCUCCCCGGGGGGUGGCCAGCGCCCGCCAGAGGACCAUCAAACUCCAGUCAGUAAACGAUGCAGUCUGAAAAACAUUUAAUAAACUAAAACUUUCAACAACGGAUCUCUUGGUUCUGGCAUCGAUGAAGAACGCAGCGAAAUGCGAUAAGUAAUGUGAAUUGCAGAAUUCAGUGAAUCAUCGAAUCUUUGAACGCACAUUGCGCCCUUUGGUAUUCCGAAGGGCAUGCCUGUUCGAGCGUCAUUACAACCCUCAAGCUCUGCUUGGUAUUGGGCACCGUCCUUUGCGGGCGCGCCUCAAAGACCUCGGCGGUGGCGUCUUGCCUCAAGCGUAGUAGAACAUACAUCUCGCUUCGGAGCGCAGGGCGUCGCCCGCCGGACGAACCUUCUGAACUUUUCUCAAGGUUGACCUCGGAUCAGGUAGGGAUACCCGCUGAACUUAAGCAUAUCAAUAAGCGGAG
rnacentral:rRNA from 1 species